CCUACGGGAGGCAGCAGUGAGGAAUAUUGGUCAAUGGACGAGAGUCUGAACCAGCCAAGUAGCGUGAAGGAUGACUGCCCUAUGGGUUGUAAACUUCUUUUAUCUGGGAAUAAAGUGUUCCACGUGUGGGGUUUUGUGUGUACCAUAUGAAUAAGGAUCGGCUAACUCCGUGCCAGCAGCCGCGGUAAUACGGAGGAUCCGAGCGUUAUCCGGAUUUAUUGGGUUUAAAGGGAGCGUAGGUGGGAUGUUAAGUCAGUUGUUAAAGUUUGCGGCUCAACCGUCAAAUUGCAGUUGAAACUGGCAGUCUUGAGUACAGGAGAGGUGGGCGGAAUUCGUGGUGUAGCGGUGAAAUGCUUAGAUAUCACGAAGAACUCCGAUUGCGAAGGCAGCACACUGGACUUCAACUGACACUGAGGCUCGAAAGUGUGGGUAUCAAACAGGAUUAGAUACCCCGGUAGUC
rnacentral:rRNA from 1 species